UUUUUUAAUUAAGAGUCAAACCAAAUACAUAAAUAUAUUAGAGGAGUUCACUCUUCGUAGCAAGUGCUUGGGGAAAUGUUUAGUUAUUUGCCCACUGUUUUUGGGUUAGUGGGCGGAGGAGGAGGGAUCGUAGGUCUUAAUAUCCAACCCAUUGGAAAGAGUACAGUUCACACUUAGUAAAAAGUCACACCUGACCCCUCAAAACAGCCUUCGCAAAAAGCGCAAAACCUUGAGGGAGUCUACGGAUCCUUUCAACGUUUCUGAAGAGAGGUUUGAGGAGCUUUUCAGGCUCACAAAAGAAAUGUGUAACAGUAUCUUUGAGGAGAUCCGUCCUCAUAUGCGAGAAAUUGCAGCAGGUGCGAUUCCUUGGAACUUUGCGAUUUUUCGCUCAAGGUGAAUAUAGAUUUGUAUAUUUUUAAACAAAUUAUUUUCACGAAAAUGCGUAAUCUUUUUGCUAAAUAUCUCGCAAAGCAGCGUUAGCAGAUUUCCACAGAUUUUAUCGUGAAUUCCGUUUCCCAGGGGUAAUAGGUGCUAUUGACGGUUCCCAUAUUAACAUAAAGAAACCAAGCAAGGUCAUCGAACACGUAUAUGUGUGUAGGAAAGGAGGUCACUCAAUAAACGUGCAAGUGGUGACAGCAGAUACCCGCAGCUUCCUUUCUUAAUGACUCCAAUUCAGGGUAACAAUCUAUCUCAAUCAGAGGAAAACUAUUAUAGACGGCACAGAAAAGCCAGGAGUGCUCAAAACGAGAUUUCGUUGCCUUAUAAGAGAGAGAGUGUUAAUGUAUGACGCCAUCGUAGCAGGGAAAAUAAUUAAUUCAUGCAUUAUUAUGAUUAUGAAUAAUAUCGGUGGAAAAUUAGAAGAUGAUGAAAUGUCAAGUGAAAAUGAAAUUUUUUAUGAAGGCAGUGAGGGAGAAAUCUCUCCUCAAGGCAUAUCUGCAAGACAACAUGUAGUUAAUAAUUUUUUUUAAUUUACGAAUUUUGAUGCCAUAAUAAACCCAAAAAUAAAAUUGCCGCGAUGGUCACAAAAAUAGCACCAAAAUUCAAAAUGGUGUUCUUAGUAA